ACGACUCUCGACAACGGAUAUCUCGGCUCUCGCAUCGAUGAAGAACGUAGCGAAAUGCGAUACUUGGUGUGAAUUGCAGAAUCCCGUGAACCAUCGAGUCUUUGAACGCAAGUUGCGCCCGAAGCCAUCAGGUUGAGGGCACGUCUGCCUGGGUGUCACGCAUU
rnacentral:rRNA from 1 species